AGUUGCUUGUGUCGAGGGAGGGAGGGAGGGAACAGAGGGUGCGCGUGUGAAAGCUCCGCCCCCAGCCCUAGCUCCUCCUUCCCGCUUCAGCAGGUCCAGGCUCUGCGCCAGUGCAUCCUUCUCCAAGAGUGCGCUGCCUGGGCCCGCUUGCCCUGGAGUGUAAGUGCUGGGUAAAUAAGAACCGCCUGGCGCAGGCUGUGUCUACUCUUCACGCCGCCUUCUCAGAUCGGGCUGCAUGUCCCCACUCCGUGUUUACAUCUCGUUCCCGCUCCGGGUCUCGGUGACUGGCUCCUCAAGCCGGAGACGCGUGUGGUGCGGCGCGAUGCGGGCGCCAGCGCUGUGUGUGCUGGCGGUGCGCUGCCUUAGUGCGGGGGAAAGUGGAGGGAACGGUCCUGCGGGGCGUUCUGUCCAAGAAAAAGGACUGCAGCCUCGGGGAGCCAGGGUCCCCUCGCAGACGAGCUGCCAACGCCGCGGAGCCAUUUCUGUUCCACCCUAGGGGAGGAGUAGGGGGAUAUCUUUUAAAAGUUUAAUUGCAAAAUAAGUAGGUUAGUAAGGCCAUUUGUGGUUGCUGUUUCAGUAACUUCAGCAGUCAACGGAGAGAAGAGUGGAAACCUUACUGGAUGCGGACAGGAGAGCCAGUUACUGAAAGCAGAUAUAACGCGGAUCCUGUAAAGAGUGGUGUGUAUCCAAAAAAAAAAAAUCUGUACAAUGUAUUUUAAAACUUGUGUGCACAAAACUGAAGAUUUUCUUUUUUACCUAGUCCAAAUGCCGUCCUAGCCUGAGUCCUGCUCUUUAUAAAAAUAAAAUAAAAAGAAUUUGAAGCUUGUGAAAGUAUUAAGUGUAGACAUUCAAGUUUAUUUGAAACCCUACCAAAAAAAAAAAAAAACAACCUUAAAAACCAGUGUAACAGGAAGGCGGGAGCCUGCUAAAACGAUUAGGCCUAAGACAGGGUUAACCCCAA
rnacentral:lncRNA from 1 species